rnacentral:misc_RNA from 1 species
AUCAGGUCUUUUGCAAAUGUCGACGUUGUAGGGAAGCCUAAUCGGCUUACAUAUAUGGGUUCCUCUAAUGUGGCAGCUACAUUGCGUGCUGCUGCCAUUUUGUUGAGGCUGCACUCAGGGUGGGACUGGUUUGUGGCAUUGAGUUCAUCGGAUUAUCCCUUGUUGACUCAGGAUGACUUGUCCCAUGUAUUCUCUUCUGUUAGCAGAGACCUGAAUUUCAUAGAUCACACUGGUGAUCUUGGGUGGAAAGAAUCUCAAAGGUUCCAGCCUAUUGUUGUUGACCCUGGAAUUUACCUAGCAAGAAGGACCCAGAUUUUUCGGGCUACAGAGAAGCGGCCAACUCCUGAUGCUUUCAAAUUAUUCACAGGCUCCCCAUGGGUCAUCUUGAGCAGAUCAUUUCUUGAAUUUUGCAUUCUUGGUUGGAGAUAACCUCCCACGAACUCUUCUCAUGUACUUCAACAAUGUGAUUUUACCUGAAGAGGGCUACUUCCACUCAGUCAUUUGCAAUGCACCAGAGUUUAAGAACACUACUGUAAACAGCGAUCUAAGAUAUAUGGUCUGGGACAAUCCUCCAAAGAUGGAACCUCAUUUUCUGAACGUCUCUGAUUAUGAUCAAAUGGUUCGAAGUGGAGCUGCUUUUGCAAGACAGUUCAAGGUGAAUGAUCCUGUACUGGAAAUGGUUGAUGAGAAGAUCCUAAAGCGUGGACAUAACCGGGCUGCUCCAGGGGCUUGGUGCACUGGCCGGAGGAGCUGGUGGAUUGAUCCUUGCUCUCAAUGGGGUGAUGUCAAUGUAGUUAAGCCUGGGCCUCGGGGGAAAAAAUUUGAAGAGACCAUCAAAAACCUUCUUGACGAGUUGAAUUCGCAGAUGAAUCAAUGCCAAUGAAAGUGCAUAUUGAAGGCUCGUUGUCAGAGGCAAGAUGCAAAAGUUUUCUGCAUCUGAAUUUUGUUGACGUAUUCGAAGGAUGACCAUAGCUAGAGAAUUGAUUCUUUGGUCUUUUAGGUCCAUUUUGUGGGUGAUUCUCCAAUCAUCGGCUAUGGAUGUUUAUAGGAGUGGCAGAGUUGAAGGGGAAACAAGUGAAUUCACUUGGGGUUUUUCGAUUGUAUCCUGUGAUGGGGGCUGGUAUUUAUUCAGAGCCACCUAUAUGCAGUUUCAAUCAACAAGAGGAUCACCCUGUUUGUGCUGCCAGUAGGAGAAUACUGUUGUAUGUUAAUGUUCUGUUGUUUCACGUCCAAUGCUAUUCUUUUAAUUCUACUUUUGUGCUC